UUUUUUAAAACUUAUAUUAUAUUAUAUCAUUUGAAACUUUCUCUCAAAUCCCUCCAAGAUCGAGCUCUCCUAAAAAUUUAAAGAACAUUCUCUCCCCCUUAUCUGUCUCUCGACUCCCUCUCUCCCCUCUCAACUCCGCCGCCGACGCCGCUGCCCUGCACCGGCCCGUCGCCGCCCACCCUUGCUGCUGCCCCGUGCCCUAGUUCUUCUCUAUUCGAUUGGUCGAGCCCUAGUUCUUCUCUGUUCGAAACAACCCAGCCCUAGUUCUUCUCUGUUCGCGACCUAAAGCCCGCCCAUCGUUGCUGGUGGUCCGAGGAUCGGCGAGCCGAUGGUGUUCUACGGCCGGUUCUCUUCUCAACUCCACAUAAUCGAGGCAGGAAAGGGGGAAAGCCCUAAUUCUCUAAUUUGCAAUCGAGAGCAGAUGAGGUUGAUAAUUGGGCGUCGAACAAGAGUUUUGCCCCUUCUCCCUCUCUCUACCUCCUCUCUGCGCCGCCUUUGUCUCCGGCGAGCAGCCGCUAGCCGCCACCUUCUCCAGCCUGGCGUCGCCCCCCAUCCCCAUCACCCCUCUCUCGCUUCCACCACCACGAGCAACCUCCAUCGUCGGCUCAGCGCCCACCACCGCUCCAAUCGCACCACCACUACCCCUGGCACCUGCCUCCAGCCUCUGACUCCGACAACAGUCGCCCUCAUUCUUCAGGAGAAACUGUUUGUUUCCCCAAAGUUAGGGCUGAAACUGUGCAUGCUAAUUAGGUUGUUCGAAGCAGAAGAAGUGUUGGAAUAACAAAUCUGCUGCUGUUGCUGCUUUGAUAUGCACCUUUUCUUUCUCUUAAUCUAGAUGCUCUUGCCGAACAACUUGCAAAAGCAAAGCUGUCAGAGAGGUUAUAUCUACAAUCAGACCUGUUACCCCUAGAGCUGGUUUGAAAGUACACGGUGAUAGAGAGAUUGAUAAAGAGAUAAGCUUCAAGGUGAGUUUUAUAUCCUCUUGCUUUUAGUUUUAGUUUUAUAUCCUCUUCCUACAUUUUAUACCAUUGCUUUUAGUGCUAAUACUCACUAUUAGCACUUUCCACUCAUUUUCUUUGCAACUUUAUCGCUUGCAUGCUGAGAGGUUGGUAUUUGGUAAUCUGCUUAUCAAUCUCUUUUAUUGAAUAAUUUGGAACAAUUUAAUAUAUUGAGAAGGGUGAGGUUGGAAUUGGUGUUAGUUCUUAUUUAGCAUACUAGAACUCUAUCAAACAGGUAAACUAUCUAAUAUAUUUUUCUGAAGCAUACUUGUUUGGUUUCAUGAUGCUCUAUUACUCUGGUUUCUUAUCAUCCCUCUCUCCACCAAAUUUAUUAGGCUUGGCCUUUUGUUAUUGUUCUUUGUGUUUCUUUUGGUUCCUGGUAGUGGUAAUACAUAUCAUUGCAAAGAUACUGAAAGGUACUUUUUCAUGGUUGGCCAAGAAAUAACUUCCCAAUUCUGGUGCCCCCAGUUAGCUUCAGUGAACGAGAAUCGGGAAUAUGUUAUAGUAGGUGGUGGAAAUUCAGUUGGUUAUGCUGCUCGGACUUUUGUUGAGCAUGGAGUGGCUGAUGGGAAGCUCUGCAUUGUCUCCAAAGAGGUUUUUCAUUCUAUAAUAUGGCACAAAACUUUGUGUUGCUGCGCUGCUUUAGUUGUUCUUGUGGAGUAUCAGACAAUGAAAUUUUGUGUAUUUUGUGAACCAUAAUUAGCUUGCCUUUUUCUCAAUUCGGAUGGUUUGUUUAUAGUAGUACUCUACUUGUUUCAGUCUGUUCUUUUUCCCUAUCUUUGCUUUGUUUUCCUCUUCUUCUUUUCCUUCUCGUAGUUAAUUAAAAUGCCAAUUCACAGAUAGAUCCUAAAUUUGCUUCUUCUUUUGUCUGAUCUUCCUGGUCUCACUGAUACUGAGAAACCAAGGAUGAGAGGUCCAAAGAGGGCUUCAAAGAUCCGCAAGCUCUUCAACCUUAACAAGGAAGAUGAUGUUAGGAAGUAUGUCAACACAUACCGUCGCACAUUCACCACCAAAUCUGGCAACAAAGUCAGCAAAGCUCCUAAGAGUGGAGAUGAGAAAGUGAUAGGAGGACUUUCAUGCUUGAUGUCGGAAAUUGGUCAAGCUGUGGGUAUCUUUUUACAAUUAUUUUGAGGUCAAAAGACAACCAGAGAAUCAUAGCAGGUUGACUAACUAGUUCUUGAGGACUUGGUGCUAGAAACAUUGUAUGAUAGAUUUUUAUUUUAGCUAUAAGGUAGUUGGUAUUUUCAAUUUUGAAUAGGAAUAUGCAAUGAUGAU